AGCUUUUGAGGGGAAAAGGAAGGGAUAGGUGAUUGGACAGCAGCAAUGAGAGUUCCUUAUAUCUCUCAUUUAUAAACUCUUUAAGCCUCUUCCUCUUGCACCACAUGCACUUCCCUUUGAGUUCUGGGCAGCAGGGGUGGGGAUCCAAGUUGUCUUUCUCGCAGUGGUACACAAAGCCAUAGAUUGGCUUUUUGCAGGCGUCGCAGUUCCCUUUGCAUCCCCGUGGUGGCAGGCUCUCGGUGGGGUUCUAAGGAAUUUUAAGGUGUAAGGUUUCAGGUACAACUUCGGCUACAGUUCAUGCUCUGGAUGGCUUGGAUUGAUCGCCAUUUCUUUGUGAUACCUUAAAGAGAGAGAAUUGUGACUAUGUGGAUUGAGAAGAUUGCAGGAAGAGCAGGGAAGUCAUCUAGGGAAGUCAUUUGGGGAGCUUGAAGGCUUUUUGGUUUGAUUUGCUUCUUAAGCGGAUCUGCUAAUCCGAGUGUUUGCCUAGACCCUUUGCAUCUGUUUCCAGCUUGAUACGAACCCGGACUUGAAAUUGUCAUACCACUCGUAGGCAAGACCGUUAAUUCUCCUAAACCUUUCUAACUCAUCUUCUUCCUGAACUUCUAUUACUUGACCUGAACUUUACAGUCGAGUAAACGAACAAAAUCCUGAACAUGAACAAAAAUACGAGUCAAUGAAAUCCUCAACCUUGUAAA